UCAUAACUGAGGCAGUAAAGCAUGAGAUUUUUAAUCUCGGGGUUGUGGGUUUGAGCCCCACAUUGGGCAAAA